ACCUCCUGAGUCUACAUCCCUGCGUCCCGCCCCUCAUUCAGUCCAGGGUGUGGGUUCAGAGAAAACAAGCAUCCAGAUACAAGAUCUCGAUAGCCACACUUCACACUGAAAGAUGGAUCCUUCCCAGGGCCCCCCAACUCCAGAAAUGAAGUCUCACUGACAAGCUGUGAAUAUUCACUGCUCAAACUACAGCCGGACCUUACAGCAAGGGGAAAGAAAGAAGUCGUCACCCCUGCUUCAAUCUGACGGGUGUAUGUGUGUGGUGUAAGGGUUGGGGUGUAUGUGUAUGUAUGGUGUGUAUGUAUUGUGGUGUGUUUGCGUAGUAUGUGGUGUGGUGUGGUGUGGUGUGUGUGUGUGUGUGUGUGUGUGUGUUUUCUAGAUUUUCUAGGCUGGGCUGCCCCAAUUACCCCUGCUCCCUCUAUCUCUGCCUCUGAGUGCUGCAUAGGUAGGUGUGAGCCUCCAUGCUGACACCCCGUUCUUUAUUUUUAAUUUCACCUGAGGAAGGGGCUAGAGCCCUCAUACAAACCCACAUCAACGUAGAAAGCUUUGCCUACAACGGACCCUCACCCAACAGUGCUGCUCCCCUGAGGUCACCAGGCCAAGCUCCCCCUGCCUACUGAACUUUCACUAGGACUUCUGCACCCCAGCAGCCACGGGCAGGGGCAUCCUCCAACCGGACCAGCCCAGAGGCCCUCGAGCUACCCUGUACAGAAGUCGAACAGCUCCAAGCAGAGAAGGCCAUGACACAGGAUUCCAAGGCUGCUUCCAGCUGGAUUGCCUAGUCUAUGCCUCUGUCACAUCAUCCACUAGAUGAGGGGUUAAGCAUGGAAGGCAGUCUGACUAUGCUACGCCACCAAGGUUGGAAAAUGCUGUGCACUUAGAACGACAGCAGCAAGGAAUGGCUAUCAACGCUGCUCUCAGCCAAGCCUGGGCCAGAUCCCAGGCAGACCUGGAGCAGGCGACAAGCUGAGAUUCAGCCAGCCAGGAACACCCUGAGGUCAGAUUCCCAGGCCACAGGAGGAACCCCUGCCGCCACUUCCAGCUAAACCAACUAACCCAGAGAUCCCAAAAGUCCAAAAAUACACACACCCAUAAACCUCCAAAGGCCCCUCUCAAACGGGGUUGGCCCAAAUGGCCUUUGUAUCCCAAAGCCCUCCCCAAUUCCUGCCUUGGGAAUGGUCUGAUGCCCCACCUGGGUCGCAGGGCACCAUUCCUGUAUGAAUCUGGUCUUGUCACCACCCCUAAGCCCCAAGCGGACGCGCCUCUAGUUCUCAAGGGGCACACGCACACCAGGGGAGAUGACCCGGGUCCCCGCGCCCCCGCCGGCGGGGAUCUCUGCUCGCCCCUCCCCCGCCGGCGCUUCACAAAGGCCCUUUGUCCCGCUGAGUCCCGGACUCCCAAUUCUAGAAAAGUUCCAGGAGAAAAAUAUCAAAGGCAGAGGCUAAUUCGGCGAGCCGUGGUCAUCCUGGCGGGCAGGGGAAGAUACUAAAGUGGUGGCUCUGAGCCCCCAGGGUGUCCAAGUCUUGUUCCAAAGGACGAGGGAGCGAGUUCCUGGGGAAAUCGACCAGGUUUUGUUUUGUUUUGUUUUUUAAAGGAAGAGCUGAAGUGUUCUCCUUAAGCCAAGCGUAGAAGUGAGGAGCAGCCGGGGAGGAGGGACCGGCUUACGAAGCCGCCACCAGGCAGAUCUGCAGGUCCCAGACUCCCUGUCUUCCGGCGCACGGUGACCAAGACUUGGCUCAGUCCCGCCUGUCCCUCUGCUCCUUCCCUGUGCAGCCCAGGGAACGAGCCCUCGGACUGGGAUCCCCCAGAGUGGUUGUGACUGCAGACACUUGAGCCUCAGGAGGACUGAGACUAUCUGGUACACUAGGGACAGGUCUGUCUUCCUGGAGACCGACCUCUGCGCUAGCAGCUGAGCGAGCCUCCUGCACACCCUGGUGAAACCGGACAGAGACGCCCAGCUCCAGCCGCCUAGGUUUGACCUGGGCUCCCGCCCUAAUAUCCCCAUCAAAGCUGGAGGGUGGGUGCUAGCACAGUGCGCAACACUUACCCGGGUGCGGGUGAAGGUUGAGACCGGCCAUGUAUUUCCCGGGCGGCGGGGGACCUGGCAAGCCCGAGGAGGGCAAGCGUCCGGCGGUGGCCGCGCCCACGCGGUGGCUGUCCAUGGCCAAGCCGGACAGCAGCGGCGGCGGGGGGCCGUGGACGGACCGCUGGGGCCCGAAAUCUCGGCCAUCCAUCCUCCGCGGGAGUGCCGCGAUCAGCCUCCCCACCCGGCCCGCCGGCCUGCUUCAGUGGGACUUAAAAGUUCGGCCUCGAUGUAGUCCUAGUGUCCUCGGGUGGCGGGCGCUCCGCGGCGUGCAUGGCGGCGGCCAGCGGGGCUUGCGCUCAACCACGGGCCCGCGGCCCGGGGCGCAUGAACCGCCCGCGGUGAGUCCCCUCCGGGCGGCUGAGCGGAGAUGAGGAAGGAGGCGUACACGGUAUCUUUGGUGAGGGAAGACCGCGGAAGACACAGAAGAGGGAAGGGGGAAAAGGGGAGGGGAAAGAGAAAAAAAAGAAAACAAGUUUCAGAAAGUCGCCUCGCCCUUCAGGGUAGGAGAGUAGCGAACCGAGCUGGUGGCCAGAAAUAAAAUCGGGAGUAGCCGCCCCCUCUCCUCGAAAUGCGAAAACCUAGGGUCCUUCCUCCAGCAGUUCAGGGUUCCCAGGGACGUGGCUCAGGGAAGCGGCCCGGCUCGCUGUGUCCCAGCCCCGUCUCUUGCCUACGAAGUUCUCCCUAACUGGGGAAGGCCACUCAACAGACCGCGCCCGUUCAGCUAAAUCCAAACCCGUAGUUUAUUUUUCAGGCGUCACAAGCUCUGGAGGUUUAAAACUUCGAAUGCUUUUGAGUUGGUUGAAAUGUGUCCAUAACGCCAUACCAACUAUCUGAUUCGCAAAGUUUAAUGUUUAACCUUUUUAGGGCCCUCGUCUCCCUUUUUUUUUUCUCCUUGUGAGCCGCGAAUAAUAAUAAUAAUAAUAAAAGGGGUGUUCGGUU